UGGCUUUCUGACACCAGAGGUAAUGAUUAAUAGGGACAACUGGGGGCAUUCGUAUUGCGACGUUAGAGGUGAAAUUCUUGGAUCGUCGCAAGACGGACUAAAGCGAAAGCAUUUGCCAAAGGUGUUUUCAUUAAUCAAGAACGAAAGUUAGAGGUUCGAAGGCGAUUAGAUACCGCUGUAGUUCUAACCAUAAAUGAUGCCAGCCAGCGAUCCGCCGAAGUUUCUUUGUUUGAUUCGGUGGGCAGCUCUCGGGAAACCAAAGCUUUC
rnacentral:rRNA from 1 species